UUUUUGAACACAGGCUCCCACCUUCAACUUAUCACUUCCUUACCUUUGCUGGGGUACCUGAUGACUUUAAAGAGACUGUUUCUUUGGAGAAGGUGGAAUACGCUUAAAGGUUGGAAUGGAUACAACCAAACCACCAUAAAAGCCUUAUGUGGAACAUGGCAGACUUGGUCUUGCCUUUAAAACACCAUUUUAAAAGAGACCAUUUGUUAGUGCCUGAAAUCUGUAACUGGCUUAAAAGCUCUGUCAGCUGGAAAGGAACCUGUCAGUGUGAUAAUGGAAAAGAAGAAGAUACAUCAGAGAGAGGUAAAAAUGCUGGCAGAGGGUGAAAAUACCAAGGAUAGAGCAAGUCUGACAAACUCACGUUGAAUAACAAGAUCUUCAUGGCCUGGAUCCCUGAAAGACUGUGUGGAUUGUUGUGAGGAUUUGCAAGUUAGAAAGCAUCAUUUUCGACUGGCCCUUCUCUGUUCUCCCACCAGCUCUUCUGAGGAUUAAAGGAGGUAACUUAAGAAGAAGAGUUAAUGAGAAAAUGUCCAGUCUGAAGGAAAAAAGUGGUGAUCACAUGGUCAUAGAAGAGA
rnacentral:lncRNA from 1 species